UACGUAGGGUGCAGGCGUUAAUCGGAAUUACUGGGCGUAAAGCGUGCGCAGGCGGUUUUGUAAGCCAGAUGUGAAAUCCCCGGGCUUAACCUGGGAAUGGCAUUUGGGACUGCAAGGCUGGAGUGCGGCAGAGGAGACUGGAAUUCCUGGUGUAGCAGUGAAAUGCGUAGAUAUCAGGAGGAAUACCGAUGGCGAAGGCAGGUCUCUGGGCUGACACUGACGCUCAUGCACGAAAGCGUGGGGAGCAAACAGG
rnacentral:rRNA from 1 species